GGGAGACCUCCGUACCCUCCGUGACUCUCUCUGGGACCCAAUGGCGGGGAGAGACUCUCCCCGCGGGCUCAGGUGUGCAACUCCAAAGUUUCCCUCUGCGUUUAGGAGUAAUUGCGGGGGGUUUAGGUAGGGUUCUGGUCACCUGUUUCCACUGUCGCUCCUCUGUUGUGUUCUCGCUCCUGCCCUAGAUGUGUGUGGAUCCUCUGGGGGCGUCCGUUGGAAGAAAGCCGCUUGCGGGUACUAGGCUGCCCAUCGGGGUCAGAGAGUUUUCACCUAUUUCCACAUCCUCCCGGAGGAAAGUCCGUCCGCCUUCUGAUGUAUAGUCACGUGGGUGUCUCAGACGUCCUGAGAUGCUGUCUGGAUAUCCUUUGUCAAGCGAUAAGUGUCCAAAUAAUUGUAGACUCGAAGGGCGAGAGACAAAGAGGACUACUCACGGCGCCAUCUUGGAUCUUCUCCGGUGGGUAUGUAUUUUAAUUGCCAGACUAAUUUCCAAAGUGGUUUAUCAGUUUACACCAGCAAGAUAUCAAAACUGCCAUUGCUUCAUAUCCUUGUUAACAUUCGGUAUUGUCACUGUGUGUGAAAUAGCAGUUCAUUAUGGUUUUAAAUUGCAUUUCCCUGGCAACUAACGAUGUUAAACAUCUUUCUAUGUGCUUGUUGGCCAUUCCUGUAUCUUCUUUUGUGAACUGUCUUUCCAAAACUGCGUAUUUUUGAUGAUGUAUACAUGCACACGUGUAUAUACGUGUAUGUGUUUUAUUGUACAUGUGUAUGUAUAUACAAACAGGUACACAAACACACACUCACAAACAGAUACACAUGACGUAAACAACUGAAGUGUUGGGAGAGGGGUCUAGAUCAGGUGGGUCAGUAGGUUUGAAAAGCAACAGAAUGAAGUUCUCUGCAAGGUUGCACAGCUUGAGGAAACUACCUUAACAUCUGUCUGUAAAGCAGUGCCUUCCUUGUAGGCUUGUUAGGAGGGUUAUGUGUUCCUACGUGUUAAGCGUUUAGAAUAACACUUGGCGCCUAGUGAGCACUCAUGAGUGUUGAUUAGAAGUAAAAUGAACCAACCCAGCCUUGAUCCUCAUCAGCCAGCGAGCAGAGAGGGCACCUUCUCGUGCCCUGAACCCUCUGAUGAAAUGAUGCCUAUGGGAGGCUUUUUCACACCUUUGCCAUGAAAUUCCCAUUGUGGCAGUUGACACCCACGCAGAUGGGACAGAGUCAGUAAAUCUUUCUUGGAUGAAUAGAUAGGGGUUGGGCCAGGUCAGUGUUUCCCACGGGAGGAAUGUGAGAUGGUUUUAGGCGGUACACAGACUGGUAUUUUAAAUUUAAAUAAUUAGGUAUUUAUUACAGAAUGCGUUAGGUCUGAUAUGCUACCAGAUAUCUUCUUCUGAGUAUUAAAAAAAGGUAGUUGAUUUCAAGACAUAUUAAAUUGAACAUGUGGUAUGUGAAUGUCAUGAAAAUUUUUAGAGUAGUAGUGGAUUGAAUGAAAUUGAGAAAAUCUUUGAGGUCUGUCUAAAUCUGAGAUAUUUGAUUCUUUGCAUCUGGGUUUCAAACAUGAAAUUAGGACAUACAAGUAGAAGGGAUGUUCUCUGGGUUUUGGGAACAGAGGACUAAUGGGAAUGGACAGCAAACAAGAUGCACAGGAUCGUGGUAUGGAGAUAAGUAGUAUUAGAUUUUUGGUAUCUACUUUGGGACAGUCUUUAUGUAUAUGUAUAUGUUCAUUCUAGCAAAAUUGGGAGCAUCCUGUAUAUGUAAUUUUGUAUUCUGCUUUGUUCACCUGAUGCGAUAAUUCCAGGUUCAGUAUUCUUGUACAAAAAUCUUUGUGUCCAUUCUUGUUUCCUUAGGAUAGAUCCCAGAAGUGGGGUUGUUCUGUCAUUGGGUACACAUGCUUUUCUGGCUUUCUGUACCUGUUGCCACGGUGCCUUGGACGUGCCUGUGCCAGUUGAUUGUUCUGGCGGCGGUGUUGAGUGCCAUCCUCCUCAGCCCUCUCCAGCGCCAGCUUCUGUUAAAAAAUAGUUCUGUUGCCAAUUUGAUAGGAGAAGUACUGCUCUCUGCUUUUGCUUUCAUUGUGCUUUUUAAAAAAUUAUUGAUAGAGCUGAUAUGUGUGUUCAUUGAUCAGUUGGAUUUCUUUUGUGAAUUGUUCUUUUUUUUGUCUUUUGUCCUUUUUUUCCUUCUUGGAUAUUAGGGCUUUUUUCUUACUAAUUUACUAGUCCUUUAUACUGAAAGGAUGUUAAUACUUUGUGGUGUGUCACAGAUAUUUUUCCUAGUUUAAUAUUUGCCUUUUAUGUUUGUUACUGUUUUCUUCUUGUGAAGCAAUGCUGUGUUUGAUUGAUUCUGUGACACAUGUGUUCUUGCCUUUUAACUUUUUUGAAAUCAGAUGUGAUUUAUUCUUGAUGUGUCCUGCAGUCACUGUCAGGUUGUGUUAGAUUUGUCAUUACCUGUGCAAGUGGACAUGGUCGUUAUUCCUGGUGGCAGGGCUGGACCUCUGCAACCACAGCCCCUGGAUGCUUUUGUCCCCAUACCAUUUAAAGGCCAUUUGAAGAAGGAGCACAGAUCCUGAUUGCUGUUUGAAAACCAUCCAUUGAUACCUUCUGAUGGGAUCAAGAAAAGGUAUCAAAACUUACAGAGUGAGGGGCAGCAGCUUGGAAGAAAAUCUCAGAGAAAGAUGAUGAUGGUCUUUUAAGAAAUGCGGCGUCACCAACACCCUCGAUGGAAUUAGAACCCCUUUGUCCACUCCAGGCCAGUUGAGACCACCAACUCAUCAGCUGGACCCACGCAGAUAUCUGAUAGGCGACCUUUUGAUGUCAGGAGGCUAAAAACCCCAUCCUCACAUCAUGUUCACACUGCCAUUUUGUGAGCAUGUGUCCUCUAAAGAGGCAUGAAGUCUGACUAUGCAUGCACACAUCAUCAAUUACUUCACCUCUCCUCGCCUCCAGUCACUUAUCUCCACAUUUCAGACCACCUUGCCCCCCUAUCCCAUAAAUAUCCUUGAGUUCCUAUUUUCGGGGAAGUGGAUUUGAGACUCAUGCUCUCGCUUCCUCACGUGGCUGUCUUGUGAUUAAACUCUCUCUCUGCUGCAAUCUCGUCAUCUCUGUAUUUGGCUUUCCAGGUGGCAGGCAAAAGUGAGCCUGGCACGGUAACACACCUAUUUGUGGCACAUACGCUACAUGUAUUUUUGGUCUUACCUUUUUCUCUGAAAAGCGUAUCUUGACCAUCUUGCCAUGUCCAGUUCUUUUAGUUUAUGUUUUCAAGAUUGGUUAGUAUUUCAUUGCGUGGAUGCACUGUGAUUUGCUCAGCUAAUCGCCACUUGAUGGCCUGUAAGUCCUGAAACAUGCUCAUUCACCUCAGAACUCCCUAUGAGCAGUGCCCAGCAGCACUCUCUUCCUUACUCUUUCCCACAGUGUGUUGUAAAUCUUUUUAUCUUGGCCAAUCUCAUAGGCAAAUCAGUGAGGUCCUUUUUCCUCGAGACAUGGGAACCACUGUCAGUCAUCUUGAUUUGAAGAUCAGAAAGAAACACGUGUUAGAAACACCAGGAAGAAGGAAUUGUGGGAACUAGGAUCAGAUGUACUUGUGUUACGUCCUGUUGCAUCUCCCCACCUUUUGUGCUGCGCAUCACUGACCACGUCCAGCGUGCUGUUGAGAUCAGUCCCAGGCUCCUGCCAGGCCCUCUGUGACCUCAGCUGGCUUCUCUCUCUAGAGUCCUCCCUGGUUUCUCCUGUUUUCUACUGUUCUCCAGCCCCCAUGCCUACUUUCUGAUACUAGAACGCUCCCAGUCCAUUCCCACCCCGCAGCGUUUCUAUCUGCUGUUCCUCCCUUCUGGAAUGCCUUUUGCACAGCUGACUUUGUCCAAUUCCCUAGGACUCAACUCAGCAUCCCCUUUUCAGAGAGGCCUUCCCUUUCACCUUCUCUAAAGUAGGUCCCUCUAUCCUCCAUACUGUUGAAUCCUUCAUUUGUUAUAAUCUCUUAUUUAUGUUUGUCUCUGUCCCUUCUCUGUCUUGUCACCACUGUAUCCCCAAUGCCUCGCACUUAGCAGACACUCAAUAAAUGUUGCUUGACUGAAUCAAUAGUAUUUAAUUGACUGAUAAUACAGAACUGAGAGGAAUAGAAACUGCUCCUUGUUAUCCAAGAGGCAAUAAUAAGUCCAGGAAGGAGUGCUUAGAGGGAGGCAAAUUGACCAGCUUUUCAGCAGUUGCUUAGCAGUGGAGUGAGUGCCUUCUUUGUGGGGAGUAGUCAAGCAGUGGCUUAAUACUGUUGAAAGCAUUCUUGCGCUGGAUAUUGGAGUUGACUAGAUCAUUUCUAAGUCCGCUUCCUACCCUUAACCUGUUUGGUUUGUGUUCUCAUCACUGCUCUACUACUCCUGCCUCAACUGCAGGUAUGGCUUUUACCGCCAGAUGGCACCAGAGGAUUCCUUUGAAAUCAGUGUUCAUCACAUGGCCACCAACAGUGAGAAAACACAUUUCAUUGCACUUAGACCCCCAACAUGUGCUUGAAACAAAAGCUUCACGAAACAGUCUUAACCCUUACUAUGUGUAACACAUGCUUAUAUUUUCCGUUUUACUUUUUUUUUUUUAAAUGCAGACUUGCAUAGUAUUAAACUGAUUUCAUAUUAAAACAGCUCACUGUUUGAAAAGCACUAUUUUAGAUAACUGAGCAGGUUUACUCUGUAAAACUUGUGGGUCUGCUGUUUUCCUUGGACAUCUUGGCUUAUAGCAAAUUGUGUCCCUUAGUGAGUCUUUGUGUGUUUCUGUGCUGAGUUGUUGCAUCGAGUAGCUGAACAUUUGCUUCCUUAGGAGUGUCUAUGGAUGUACAAAUAUGGAUGGAGAGACUGGGGGGGACAUGUUUGUAGGGAAGUCAGCACCUGUUGCAGUCAAGGCAGCAGCAAGCCUUGUGAGUAGAUAGAAAGAAAAGAUAUAGUAUCUGCUUCUGGGGCCUCAGAAUCCAGCUGGGUGAGAUCCCAUACACACACACACACACACACAGACACACACACACACGCACGCGCGCGCCCAUAUCUUAAUUUUCAGCUUACUUAUCAAGCAACAUGGAGAUGAGUGUAUUAUUUGGGAUAUCACUUAGGAUGCUUCAGCCUGCAAGUAACAGAAGCCGGGCUCAAGUUGGCUCAAAUGGUGAAGACGUUUAUUAUCUCACAAACUAUCCGUUGAGAGGUAGAGCAGGCUCCAGGUCCACAGGGGUGUGGCAUGGCAUUGCCUUAGGGAUCCAGGUUCCUUCCAUGACUUCUCAGUUGUCCCGAUGCUGGUUCCACUCAUGGUUGCCAGAAGACUUCCAGUGGUAAUCUGGGCUUCAGCUCCUAGGCUUGGAACACUAAAACCUUAAUUCCUUGUAGUGUACACUGAGAGAGAGUUUAGGCUACCAUAGCAUUUUCCAGGUUGUAGCUGUUUUGUUUACUUUCCCCUGGUUUCCCCACUAUGACCUCCUUAAGGGACGUGAAAUGACUGGCACUUAACACAGAGUUGGGAGAAGUACUUAGGGAGUUAGUAAUGAUGUUUGCCAGAUACUUCUGGGUCUCCCUUCUCUGGACCCAGAACUUUUGGUUGAGUGGAGUUAUGUGACUAGAUCUGGCCAGGGAGUUUGCUAAGUAAAUAAAUAGUUGUAAGUGAUCUG
ensembl:lncRNA